AGGGGGACCUUCGGGCCUCUUGCCAUCGGAUGUGCCCAGAUGGGAUUAGCUUGUUGGUGGGGUAACGGCUCACCAAGGCGACGAUCCCUAGCUGGUCUGAGAGGAUGACCAGCCACACUGGAACUGAGACACGGUCCAGACUCCUACGGGAGGCAGCAGUGGGGAAUAUUGCACAAUGGGCGCAAGCCUGAUGCAGCCAUGCCGCGUGUAUGAAGAAGGCCUUCGGGUUGUAAAGUACUUUCAGCGGGGAGGAAGGGAGUAAAGUUAAUACCUUUGCUCAUUGACGUUACCCGCAGAAGAAGCACCGGCUAACUCCGUGCCAGCAGCCGCGGUAAUACGGAGGGUGCAAGCGUUAAUCGGAAUUACUGGGCGUAAAGCGCACGCAGGCGGUUUGUUAAGUCAGAUGUGAAAUCCCCGGGCUCAACCUGGGAACUGCAUCUGAUACUGGCAAGCUUGAGUCUCGUAGAGGGGGGUAGAAUUCCAGGUGUAGCGGUGAAAUGCGUAGAGAUCUGGAGGAAUACCGGUGGCGAAGGCGGCCCCCUGGACGAAGACUGACGCUCAGGUGCGAAAGCGUGGGGAGCAAACAGGAUUAGAUACCCUGGUAGUCCACGCCGUAAACGAUGUCGACUUGGAGGUUGUGCCCUUGAGGCGUGGCUUCCGGAGCUAACGCGUUAAGUCGACCGCCUGGGGAGUACGGCCGCAAGGUUAAAACUCAAAUGAAUUGACGGGGGCCCGCACAAGCGGUGGAGCAUGUGGUUUAAUUCGAUGCAACGCGAAGAACCUUACCUGGUCUUGACAUCCACGGAAGUUUUCAGAGAUGAGAAUGUGCCUUCGGGAACCGUGAGACAGGUGCUGCAUGGCUGUCGUCAGCUCGUGUUGUGAAAUGUUGGGUUAAGUCCCGCAACGAGCGCAACCCUUAUCCUUUGUUGCCAGCGGUCCGGCCGGGAACUCAAAGGAGACUGCCAGUGAUAAACUGGAGGAAGGUGGGGACGACGUCAAGUCAUCAUGGCCCUUACGACCAGGGCUACACACGUGCUACAAUGGCGCAUACAAAGAGAAGCGACCUCGCGAGAGCAAGCGGACCUCAUAAAGUGCGUCGUAGUCCGGAUUGGAGUCUGCAACUCGACUCCAUGAAGUCGGAAUCGCUAGUAAUCGUGGAUCAGAAUGCCACGGUGAAUACGUUCCCGGGCCUUGUACACACCGCCCGUCACACCAUGGGAGUGGGUUGCAAAAGAAGUAGGUAGCUUAACCUUCGGGAGGGCGCUUACCACUUUGUGAUUCAUGACUGGGGUGAAGUCGUAACAAGGUAACCGUAGGGGAACCUGCGGUUGGAUCACCUCCUUACCUUAAAGAAGC
rnacentral:rRNA from 1 species